rnacentral:rRNA from 1 species
AGUGAACGCUGGCGGUAGGCCUAACACAUGCAAGUCGAACGGCAGCACAGUAAGAGCUUGCUCUUACGGGUGGCGAGUGGCGGACGGGUGAGGAAUACAUCGGAAUCUACUUUUUCUUGGGGGAUAACGUAGGGAAACUUACGCUAAUACCGCAUACGACCUACGGGUUAAAGCAGUGGAUCUUCGGACCUUUCGCGAUUGAAUGAGCCGAUGUCGGAUUAGCUAGUUGGCGGGGUAAAGGCCCACCAAGGCGACGAUCCGUAGCUGGUCUGAGAGGAUGAUCAGCCACACUGGAACUGAGACACGGUCCAGACUCCUACGGGAGGCAGCAGUGGGGAAUAUUGGACAAUGGGCGAAAGCCUGAUGCAGCCAUACCGCGUGGGUGAAGAAGGCCUUCGGGUUGUAAAGCCCUUUUGUUGGGAAAGAAAAGCAGCAGGUUAAUACCCCGCUGUUCUGACGGUACCCAAAGAAUAAGCACCGGCUAACUUCGUG